rnacentral:rRNA from 1 species
GAUGAACGCUGGCGGCGUGCCUAAUACAUGCAAGUCGAGCGAACAGACGAGGAGCUUGCUCCUCUGACGUUAGCGGCGGACGGGUGAGUAACACGCGGAUAACCUACCUAUAAGACUGGGAUAACUUAGGGAAACCGGAGCUAAUACCGGAUAAUAUAUUGAACCGCAUGGUUCAAUAGUGAAAGACGGCUUUGCUGUCACUUAUAGAUGGAUCCGCGCCGCAUUAGCUAGUUGGUAAGGUAACGGCUUACCAAGGCAACGAUGCGUAGCCGACCUGAGAGGGUGAUCGGCCACACUGGAACUGAGACACGGUCCAGACUCCUACGGGAGGCAGCAGUAGGGAAUCUUCCGCAAUGGGCGAAAGCCUGACGGAGCAACGCCGCGUGAGUGAUGAAGGUCUUCGGAUCGUAAAACUCUGUUAUUAGGGAAGAACAAAUGUGUAAGUAACUAUGCACGUCUUGACGGUACCUAAUCAGAAAGCCACGGCUAACUACGUG